AGUCGAACGGUAACAGGAAGCAGCUUGCUGCUUCGCUGACGAGUGGCGGACGGGUGAGUAAUGUCUGGGAAGCUGCCUGAUGGAGGGGGAUAACUACUGGAAACGGUAGCUAAUACCGCAUAAUGUCGCAAGACCAAAGAGGGGGACCUUCGGGCCUCUUGCCAUCGGAUGUGCCCAGAUGGGAUUAGCUUGUUGGUGGGGUAACGGCUCACCAAGGCGACGAUCCCUAGCUGGUCUGAGAGGAUGACCAGCCACACUGGAACUGAGACACGGUCCAGACUCCUACGGGAGGCAGCAGUGGGGAAUAUUGCACAAUGGGCGCAAGCCUGAUGCAGCCAUGCCGCGUGUAUGAAGAAGGCCUUCGGGUUGUAAAGUACUUUCAGCGGGGAGGAAGGGAGUAAAGUUAAUACCUUUGCUCAUUGACGUUACCCGCAGAAGAAGCACCGGCUAACUCCGUGCCAGCAGCCGCGGUAAUACGGAGGGUGCAAGCGUUAAUCGGAAUUACUGGGCGUAAAGCGCACGCAGGCGGUUUGUUAAGUCAGAUGUGAAAUCCCCGGGCUCAACCUGGGAACUGCAUCUGAUACUGGCAAGCUUGAGUCUCGUAGAGGGGGGUAGAAUUCCAGGUGUAGCGGUGAAAUGCGUAGAGAUCUGGAGGAAUACCGGUGGCGAAGGCGGC
rnacentral:rRNA from 1 species